rnacentral:tRNA from 1 species
GCAGUAGCUCAGUUGGAUAGAGCAUGGGCCUUCUAAGCAGAGGGUCGGGGGUUCGAAUCCCUCCAG